CGCUGGAAGAAGAUGCGAGACAGCUGGGAAACGGCCACCACGUUGGUUUUGAUGAUGAUUUCGGUGUCUUCCUGACUCACUUUCAGCAAGGCUGUCGGCGUGCCGACUCCAACGUUGUUUACUGCGAUAAGCCCUUUGCUAAUUCGACCGGAGGUACGGUUCCAGAGCAGCCUUGAUGAUGCUGAACAAGGACUUUAAGUUAUCAUAGAGAAAAGUGUGGAUGCGGGCUACACUUGCCGAUGCUUCUGAAGUCAUCCAGGUCUUUGCAACAAGGUUUUCGGAGUGAACCAAUAAUAUAGCGGCAAGUCGACCAAUGUGGCUACACCCUUAAACGGAAUACGCCACCAUUUGUCUUCCAUAAAGGAGGCCCUCAGCCUAACGCACCUUGUGACUGGUAUCAAAACGAGCAAAAGCACUAAGGCUACACCGGUCGCGCAGCAAAUUGUCACUAUCCAACAACGUAAGAAUGUACGGGUGUCAACGGGUGGAGUUGGCUUGCGGAAGCCAAAUCAGAAGGAACCUGCUUAUCUAUAACAGGGCUGCGAGGUUUGCACAGAGAUUUGAUGAUGACCACGGUCUUUAAAAUCAACCACCACUCGAGUCGUGACCACGAAAGACUGAGGAAUUAGCUGACAAAUGCACUGUGCAGAACUCUAUUACCACGGAGGCUCAACAGACCACAACCGAGGGACCUCAUUCUCUGAUCUCCUUUGAUAUAUACAUAUAUAUGUAUAUAUUCUUGAACAGGAUCCAUGUUCGUCUGUCGAGAUUAAAAUUUCUGGCUCGCACUCCCAUGUGUAGUAAUGUAAAUAUAGAAAACUAUAGUUAGCUCAAAUGGACUGGAUUAAAAACUGCUAAGGAGUAUUUACACUGUUAAAUAUAUAUUCUUGGCUUGUGAAAUCCAUUUUAAAUGCUA